rnacentral:rRNA from 1 species
CCCUUAGAUGUUCUGGGCCGCACGCGCGCUACACUGAUGCAUUCAACGAGCCUAUCCUUGACCGAGAGGUCCGGGUAAUCUUUGAAACUGCAUCGUGAUGGGGCUAGAUUAUUGCAAUUAUUAAUCUUCAACGAGGAAUGCCUAGUAAGCGUGAUUCAUCAAAUCGCGUUGAUUACGUCCCUGCCCUUUGUACACACCGCCCGUCGCUCCUACCGAUUGAGUGUGUUGGUGAGGAGUUUGGAUUGGCCUCGGAAGGUGGUUCGCCACCGUCCGUAGCUGAGAAGUUCUCCAAACCGCCCCACUUAGAGGAAGGAGAAGUCGUAACA